rnacentral:snoRNA from 1 species
CCGAUACAAUGAUGAGAACAUAGUUCAGCAGACUGACGGUGGUGAUCAGCAUUGUCUUUCGCUCCUAUCUGACGUAUCUG